rfam:Entamoeba invadens IP1 unplaced genomic scaffold scaff_1105074725813, whole genome shotgun sequence.
GCAAGAGUGGCCGAGUGGUCCAAGGCGCUCGUUUCAGGUACGAGUCUUUUCGAAGGCGUGGGUUCGAACCCCACCUCUUGCA